rnacentral:rRNA from 1 species
UGUGUAGGCGGUUCCUUAAGUUUGGUGUGAAAUCUCCCGGCUCAACCGGGAGGGUGCGCCGAAUACUGAGGAGCUAGAGUGCGGGAGAGGAGAGUGGAAUUCCUGGUGUAGCGGUGAAAUGCGUAGAUAUCAGGAGGAACACCGGUGGUGCAAACGGCUCUCUGGACCGUAACUGACGCUGAAACACGAAAGCGUGGGUAGCAAACAGGAUUAGAUACCCUGGUAGUCCACGCCCUGAACGAUGCAUAUUUGGUGUGGGUCAUUCAGUUGAUCCGUGCCGGAGCUAACGCGUUAAAUAUGCCGCCUGGGGAGUACAGUCGCAAGGCUGAA